CUCAGAUCAGCACCACCUCUGACAUUGUUUCAUGAAGCCUCACCAGCCCAUCACUAUCAACGGUGGAACUCACAUGUUUUUUUCCAGUUGCAUUUCCAUGUCUUGCCCUCCCACAGUCAGGGAGUAAUGCAGGAUCUCCGGUCUCUGGUGCUGUCGAAUGAAAAUGUUGACUGGUGUUCAAUGCAUUUCACGCUGAUUUCACGAUGACAAUGCCAAUACCUCUGCACUCCUUUUUUGGACUGUGUGAAGGCGAACAGGUCGGACCACUUCAUAGCCUUUGGCCUCCGUAAUCCAUGGAUUGUGGCUUUCUGUGUAAACACAACAAUACAUGUUGACAAAAGGGGCAACUCUUGGUGAGUGUCGCACAAUACUCUGAAUGAGAAGUUAAAAACAGAAACACAACAAAUCCUUUGGUGACUGGCAUAACUGAUAGAACCUGCCUGGACCAGCUGAAACUAUCGCAAUUUCUAUCUGUUUUUGGUCAUUCUUCUGAAUUCUUGUCUGAACCCGAGUUCCCGAAGCCCCGCUUGCAAAGAGAGAACCUGAACAGUGAAGGUCCAGCCGUUGGAUAACUGCGCUUGAUAACAAAGCUGGUCUAGCUCGAUCGCAUUAUGAGCAACUUAAACCACAAGAUCUCUUCCCUCCCUUCAAAUCUGACGCAGUCACUGUCGCGAAUCACAAUCAGUUCAUCAGUCUUCCGUCUGAAAAUGUUCAGAUAAAAUCACAUAAAUCACAAAUCUCCCAUUAUUUUGACAGCAUGUUUGGCAGAAUUACAAAUUCAGGCUGAGGAACAGAUUCUUUGGAGGGUAAAUCAAUAAAAUCAAAGUUCUAACUUUGUAUUGAUGAAGAGGUCUUUCAUUCCGUCCCUGUUGCACAAACUCGUCUCAUCCUUUCUGUGUACACAGGGAUCGUCUUAUCAAUUACUUACUGGCUUUUCUCCAUCAAACUAGCACAAUAACAAUGAUAUAUAAUGAUAGGGUAUGUGUGGGGGUGGGGCAGCUUUGUUUAUCUAAUCUUGUGGGGACCAACUCCUGGGGAGACACCUCCUUGUGGAGGACAUUUGACUUUGUUGGGACCCUAAAUUUGAGGGUUACGUCUUCUAACUGGGCCAUUAUAAUUGGGUUUGAGUUUCGGUCAGAGUCCUGGUUGGAUGGUUCGGCUUAUGGGGAGAGGCUGGAGAAAGAGUGAUGGCAAUGAGAGUUCCCCACAAAGAUUGAGAUACAAGUGUGUGUCUGUGUGGGUGGGUGUGUGUGUGUGUAUCAAGUUCUUGUUGUAACACACUGAACUCAGAGACAGUGUGAUGUUUGGCACAGUUAAAGAUGAAUUUCAAGUUGUGUUUAUUGUAGGUGUAAUCAUGUGUUAGUUCCCAGCCAGAUCAUCUUCCCCUGUGGCGAAGCAUGGAGAAUAUUGUUCGCUUCUUUCCAUGAUUAUACUUGACAAGAUUCAGUCUGUUCAAUCCACAAAGAGCUGGAUAGAAGGGACGGGGUGAGGUGACGGCCAAGGGAUCAGGUCAAGGUUUAGGUUAGGGUGAACCCUAAACAAUUUCAGACGUGUUUACCUUACUAUUUCGAGUCGUCACAGAUCCUCCAGUCUGUUUCAAAUUCGUGUGGUCAUUCUCCGGUCUCCUCCUCUCUUUCUGUUUCAAGUUAGUUACAUAAAGAAUCUCAGUUGAUGACCAAGCUCAGCUGGUUCAAUUACACUACAUACGUUUUUCUUUUUUUUUUUUUUGGUAACAUUUUCUUUAUAGAAGAUUUCAGUCAAGCCAAAUAUAAGUUUUAUUUUAACACUGAAGGUGUUUAUACGUCACAGCACUUUAGUCCAAUUUGAAUAAAAAAUGCUGACCUUAUUAAAAUGAGUCAAACAGCUUACAUUGUUUAAAGCUUGAACAACAAAACUGACUCAGAACGAAAAUGGAAAAGUUCUGUAUUUGGCUAUAAGUAGAUUGAGCAGAGACGGGUAGAAGGGAAGCAGGGCUUUGAUGAAAAUAAAAGUGGAUACGUUAUUGAAUGGCUAUACAUUAUCAGAUCAAAGUACAUUUUUGAAAUAUAUUUUCAAUUGACACGAUUGUUUGAAGAACAUUCUGUAUUUGAAGCACAUGAAGACCGACAGUGACAGUUAUAAACAUCCAGUCUCUCGAGUUCAUGUGUUGGCCACCGAGCUGCUCAUAUGAGAACCUGAGGCAAAGAAGAGUCUUUCUAGUUUACAAGGUGAAACCUGCUGAAUAGUUGACAUGUCUGUAGUAGUCAGGAAUGUGUCAUUAGCUGAAGUGUAACAUGCCAGACGGGUAAUAAUCUGAAUAGUGAAGUGUACUUGGUGUCUCACCCCAGAAGGUGACUGAUAAGCAAGUGUGGAACUUCCUGGAUUGCAAAGGUUACCCGUCACAACUGAGUCAUUAGACGACUGGAUCAGGUGAGCGGUAGCCACAGAGAGGGUAGUGGCUCUGUUGUGAUCCAAGGUCCUGUUCUGUCUGAUAGUGCUGCUUGAUCAGACCUCGGGUUGAGGGAGGACUGAGACCGCGAUUUACCCGCAAUGUUCUGACUUUGUUAUAUUCUGGGGCCACGUUCUGUAUUUUCAGUUCUGAUCUACUUGAAAAACACUAGGAGGGAGUUCAUUUGACAGGACAUGGUAUGAAGGAACGUUGAGUUUUCUCGGUCUAUCUCCCCAAAACACAAACAUGUACAAAUUAACUUGAAGCUUGUAAAAUACAAGAAUGUACCAACCCAUUUAAAGUCAACACCAUUAAAAAAAUUGGACCUGUAUGAUGUCUCAUCUCCCAAAUCUCUUAGUGCUAAAUAUGACCGGUUGUUGUGUGGUCAGCUUGUCUGGUCUGGGAUUCUAACCGUGGCCUAAAAUCUGAUGGGAUUCGGUUGAAGUCUCGCUUGUGUUGUACCUUAUUUCACCUGUGGCUCUCAGUUUUUGCAGACAAAAUGUGCUAUCUUUUGUAGGUAGCUUCUCUUGUAGCUUAACAACUGCGUUCUUUCAUUGCUUUAUAUUUACAAACUGAACGGGUACAUGAUGGGCACUGGCAAUGCUGGAGUAGCUUCAAGUUAAUCAUUAGAGCAAUCACAGUAGGUAAAGCGAGGCCAAAUAAAUAAGGAAACAGCGGAAUUUAAAAAGUAUGAUACUCAAAUCUCUGUUGUCUGCGUUGCUAACAUGCGCUAAGAGACAGAUUGUGGCUGGUAGAAACAGUGUGUGUAUCAUCAGAAUUUCUUUUCAAAUCAACUCCUAUGGCCUCAAAUAUCUACUAUCUGCAUCCAGUGUUAACGCAGAACUCUGUCUUUCACAUUUAGCAGGCAUUAACAUGCUGAAGAAGACUGGGCCAAAUAUUGAGCCCAGAGGAACACCACAUCUCAGUUCAUGUACUUAAAUUCCACAUGAAACUCGAAAAAGCACCAUGCAGCUUUAGUCCUCCUCCAACACCAACACCGUCUCCCAAUGGCAAAGUAUCCUUCCAAAAAAACCCCUGGAUCCAAAUACCAUGCAUAAAUACACAUGCAGAAAAUGAUCGUAUCCCCCCAAUGCUAAAGAAGCGAGCAAUCCGGACACUGCUCCAGAUCACUCCCAAAUUUGAAUCGUGCUUUCCUUGUCCCAUUUCACACAUUUCUUGAAAAUUUCCUCUAAAUCCGUCCAACUUUUCAAGUUAUUUUGAAGACCGAUUUUGCUAUUACCAGUUGUCAAACACAAUCCACUUAUUGUGCUUUAAAAACAUUUUAAGUGAAUUUAAAUACCAACGUGUUCCCUCCUCUGACCUGCUGCUCACAGGAACUGUAAAAAAAACUGAAGCUAGACCAUGAAUGUAAAAGGAAUCUUCAGGUCGAUGUUAUAUUUAGAAAUACGAGCGACUUGAUGGGAGUAAUUGCGAGUUGAGAAUGGUCAGCAUGCAUUUAAAAAAAACGUGCUGGCCCGUUGAAAACAGUUGGGAAGUGAGAAUGUCCAGACAGAAGGAGCUAAUAAAAAUAAACACAGCGGCAGCAGGGGCCAUAACAAUGAUUGAUGAGUCCCACAAACAUGUGUAUAAGUAAUGCGACUCUCGCCAAUGUAGUUCUUGCUCUUUUCCCCUCCUGUCAAAGCAGAUCACCAAAACACAGGAUUUGUUUUUGCUGCAGUGUGUACAGAUCUAUUAUGAUCCGUCUCCCUGUCUGUUCCAGUAGAGCGGACUACCUCAGAUAAACUUUAAAAACCUGUAUUCCAACACAGUCAUGUGCAUAAAGGGUAGUUCCUCUUCCUUCUCGCAGCACCGUCUGGCCUUCUUCACAGGUGAAACUCCCUCUGUGCCAGACGUCACCACCCUUCCCAUCACUUUGAAUGAGCUGCUUUAGUGUUCGGCGCUGCAGAGGUGUCCGGUGACUUACCUGAAGCUCUCAGUGAGGCGUUUAGGAUGAGCAGCCACAGUAGGAGAGUCGGCAUGUUUGUCUCCUGUCAGUCAGUCAGUGCAACAGUUGGAACUGGAGUGUCUUAUGUACCUGACUCCUGCUAGGCUCCGCCUUCUCUCACACUCAAAGACUAUCACUACAACCGGCCUGAACACGCCCCUGCCGGGCCAGGAAUGCAGGAAGAGCACCUCUGUUGACACAUGCGGGCUCCUCAGCAGAUAAAUGGACGGCUGAACAUGUCCUACGUGCAGAUGAGAUGAUGGAAAUUUUUUAAAGAGGAUGCUCCAAUAAGACUUUAUUUAACACACUAGUCAUGCUGUCGUCACCCUGCAGACACCACAACCUUGCUCAACUCUUGCUCAAUGAAGACGGAUCUGUGGACACUUCCUGCCACUCUGACGUCCCUCAGACACAACUGUUCAAAGACAAUGAGGUCAAUGUGUAUGGCUGCAGAUGAGGACAGUCAAGAACACUGGCCGAGUGUUAGGAGGCCCGUAGGCGGUGCAUGCUGCUCUCUCUCCUCUGACAUCUCGAUUUCCCACGGUGGCAUACUCGCAGUUCUUCUUCUCCCAGCAGCUGGGGAAUUCCUUAACAGGCUGCGCUGCGUCGUUCCAGGUACAGGUAGUGAUGGGCUUUGAGGCGUCAUGAGACAGUGGCCUCAUUUUCAGAGCCAAGUAGACGGCACUCUCUCUGCCUUCAAACCAGUCUUCCAAUGAAGCCUCACAUCAUUGUAAAACCGAGAGCAGAACUGUCUGACUUCUUUUGGAUUUGAAGCCAAAUUGAGUUUUGUUUCUAUUUAUUUUUCUAAAUCAAUGUGUGCAAAUAUUUACUACAUAUCCUCCUCCAACUCUGUGAGGCGCUUGCGUUACGCGUUGAACCUUUUCUUUGUUCGGUGCUUGGUUGGAGGUUGACCUUGGUUGAAGUUUAAGUCAAUUUGCUUACAAUCUGUGACCCAUAAAUAUGAAUGUAUUAUGUACAAGUGUGUCUGAGACCCAGUAGCAGUGUUGUGCUUCGGAUAAACCUUUGGUGGUGAUUGUGCUAUCCGAGUUUACUAGCGUUUAAACGUAAUCUGAUUCACUGACUCUCACUGACUGCAGACUCUGUGUGUGAGCUCUGUAACACACUGCCACCUUCUGUCCGGCUUAGCUCAUUGCAGUCAUUGGUGGUACAAAUGCUCUAACGGUGUCCUGAAGUUCAGAGUGUCACUGGGGAACAAAGUGGACUUAAUCCUUUGAGGGUUUUUUUCAAUAAAAUAUUAUAAACUUUGAUAUCACUUCUUCAAAAUACUAUAGUUUUAAAAUUGUGGCAUAUAGUAAAUGAGACAAAUCUUCAGACUGAGCCAAAGAUUGAGGUGGGAGUCAAUGAACUAGUCUAAUUUAUAUGUUAUGCCUGAAUUGCAUUACAUUUUUAGAGCUGUUGAUCCAGGAACUCUUCCUCAUCUCUCCAACAGUGAUGACUGGGACCUGUGGGGGGUCACGUCUUCUUUCACAUUCCCAGUAAGCAGUGUUAAGUUUUGACAAUGCCUCAAGCUUGUUCUUGUGGACCGCGACCACUGUUGCUGCGCCGCGUGAUGUCUGGCAACACUGCUAAACAGUUUAACCGGAGGAUGAUCAGUGUUUAUUAAGCAUGUCCUCAGAUGUUGCAGACGUUUAAGUGACAAUUCUGACGAAAGUACUCAAGCAAAAGGCUGAGUAUAAAGUCUUUUAUUGCCCCUCCAGGUAAAAGCCAGAGAGUUUAAGAUCACAAAGAAAUGGCUUAGUCAACCCUUGGUAUACAAGCGGGAUGAGAGAACGGAUAUUUUACAAUUUUAGUCCUUGAAAACCUCUGCAGGCUGUACAGUACAUCAGCAUCAGUGCAACAACAACCGUAGUACAGAGUAGCAACCUGUUGCCAAAUAAUCUGUUGCAACAGCUCUAUAAGGCAAUGUGUCAUCCACAUGUUAACACUUCUGCUGUGUUGGGGGAACCGGAGUACCCGGAGAAAACCCACACAUGAGUCAGGGCUAACAUGAAAGAAGAGCCAGAACGUUGCACAGCCUGUGGCUGUGUCCAUUCCCUGCUGCUGCUGCUGCUGCCACCGUCUUCGCCAAUGUACAUGCAGCUCACCCACAUACAUGCAGCUGCCACCACCUCAUGUUUCACUGGGAGGGUUGUUGUUGUUGUUUGCAUCAAUACGGGCCUGCUGCUGCGCAUUUAGCCAAACGAUGAAGGCGGCCAGCAGCCGGGAGGCAGUUCUUUUUAGAUGAGCGUAAAGUACCAUCAACCCCUGCCACAUCCGUGUUAGUAGGAUCUUUGCUGCGCCCCAUCCCGAUAGGUUGGCCAGGCAAUUGCAUGCAGGUUGACCAGCUGGCCGGCCCGGGUCCGGCACCUCGUUGUCCAUGGUCACCGACUCCAGGUUUUCAGUGGAUACUGUUAUGACUGUCCCAGAUUCCAUCUCUUCAGGCGUCAAAGUAUCUUUGUUGACUUAAAUUCAGGCGAUCGCAAGUCCCUGGGCUAUGAAGGGCAGUGCUGUUUGUUUUUCCAUCCACUGACAGACCACAACUACCCAGUGUAGUGUGCUGACUGUGGUGUCUCUUCCGAAUGUCCCUGACUGGAGCUGGCCCUAUAUAACCUUACAGAAUAAACUUUAAAGAAUGAUGUCACCAAGACAAAAGGCAAACACAUCUGAACUGAUGUGGCUGUGAUGCUCAACAUACCUGUCCAUGCUACAUAGGCAAGAACGAGAAUUUACACUGUAUUACCAAAACGAUUUGCUCACCCAUCCAAAUGACCAGAAUCAGGUGUCCUAACGCUUUUGAGACAUUUUUGAAAGAAUCGGCCACUCUCAGGAGCUCAGCAAUUCCAGCGUGGAACUGUCAGAGGAUGCCGCCACCUGUGCAACAAAUCCAGUCGUGAAAUUUCCUCACUCACUCAAAAUAUUCCAUAGUCAACUGUCUGCUUUAUUAUAAGAAAAUGGAAGCGUUUGGGAACAAAGGCAACUGAGCCACCAAGUGGUUGGCCAUGUAAAAUGACGGAGAAGGAUCAGCGGAUGCUGAGGCGCAGAGUGCAAAGAGGCUGUCGACUUUCUGCAGUCAGUUGCCACAGAGCUCCAAACUUCAAGUGGCCUUCAAAUUAGCCCAAGUACAGUAGGCAGAGAGCUUCAUGGAAUGGCUUUCCAUGGCCGAGCUUGUGGACAGCCUUCCCAGACGAGUUGAGCUGUAAUAGCUGAAAAAGGCGGACCGACACAACCCUAUGGGUUAGGAAUGGGAUGGCACUUAUGUUUAUAUGUGAGUCGAGGCAGGUGAGCAAAUACUUUUGGUAAUAUAGUGUUCUAACCUUGGUAAAUUGUGGGUUUUUUUUUUUACUUUUUGUAUGUGUUGAUUGUGUGCAAGUCAGCGGUCCGUAUCUGUACUCUGCCCCCGCCUCCAUUGUUUUUCAAGAUGAUCCACCUGACCAUCCAGCUCCACAGGCUGGAACCCAGACAUUUUAACUCAAGAAAACAAAAUGUGCAUUGAAUCUUGGACUUAUUUAAGGUUUUCUCAUGAACUUGCUGAAAGGAAUCUGAUCGCUGUUUUUCAAAUUUCAGUAUUUAUUUUGUGAUCUUUACAUUGUGAAACCUUAAUCGUUCAUCACAGUUUUAGUUUAACAGGACUGUUGUGAUCUCAGAUCUGAUCUGUCAUUGCUCCUGAUUUUUCUGUUGAGGUGAAAGAAAAAUAUCUUUAUUUUUAUCCUAGUGAUUACAAUAGUAGCAGUCAUGGCCAACUACAAUUCAUCUUCAGAGCACAGAUGAGUGAAGUCAAUAAAAUGGAGUUACGACGACAUAUGAAAGUGAAACUCAUCAGAGAUCAUGUUUCCCUUUCAAUUGCUUACACUGUUGCUCACAUAGAGUGAACCCUCACGUGGUCGCAGCACAAGCCGCCUUCUCAAAGUGAACCGGACUUCAGGCAUCUGCUUCCGAGCUCCAACUGUUCGGUAUCCUUCUUUCUUGCUCACCUUGUUGUUGACUCGUGUGAGGAUGGAGAAAAAAUCUUCCUCCCUGAAACACAGCACAGGGGACAGCUAUACUAGGAGAACAGACCGUUGACUGUUGUGAGAUCCUGGACCCACAGAAUCGACUUUUAUGUGACUGAGGUUGCAGUACAACAGUGACAACACCUUCAGCUAAGAUCGACCAGUGAGUGAGAGCAGCAUAAUUUGUUGGCGAAGGUUGUUGAAGCAGUAGCUCCAACUCCACUGCCGGGGAACUGAACUCACCUCUGGCUGCCGAUCCUCAGCUCCUCACACAAGGUUUGAAUAAACCAGCUGCCGUUCACUGGAUGUCUCAGUGAGACAUAAUCUUCAACUGUUGCCAUGGCGACCAGGACGUCUGCUUCUUCAGGGAUGGAUGCUUGAUGGCCAUCUUCUUCCAGAUCUGCUUCCAUCUCUGGCACCAACACUCCCUGCUGCUCCUGACCACCUUGGCAGGCCUGGAUUAGGAAUACUUUAGGUCUGCCGGUGAGCUGGACGACACCCUUCAGUCCGUGACUCAGAAUACAGCAGAAGAAAGCGUCUCCAUGCUGAGGGGCCUCCUGAAGCUCAGUGAACCGUCCUCUACUGAACUCCUUCAAGCCCUGCACCUGUGUGUGGUCACUCAGGGAGCUGAAGCUCCUCAGACCUCGACGCAUCUGCUCCAUGGUUUGAUCCUCAAACAUCAGGACACGGAAGCCAAGCAUGCUGAACACUUCUCCCAAGCUCUCUGCAAGAUGAAGAACCUACAUCUAUUAACCACCCAGAGAAGAAGAGAGAAUUCCAGCUGUUCAACACACGAGCGUCUCUGUCAGUGCCACGUCUGGUGGAGCCGUCCUGGAAGUUCUUGUUGUUGAUGAUCAAGCAGAGACCAACAGGGCUGCUGUUCAGUGGGUACAGCUCAUCCUGAAAUGGAGGCACAGUGUGAAGACAAUACAACAACAUUAGGUCAUUGAUGUUCCCUACCGUCUUCCGUUCCUUGCUCUGCAGCUGGUCUGUGAAAAAAAAAAUGUCAGUGGAAGCAGUUGAACUGAAGGGUAGAAGCUGAAAAAGGUGACAAGAGUUGAGUUCUGAUCAAACCCAAACUUACUCCUCUCUGGUCCAGAUGCCAACCUGUGUGGUCCACUGUGAUCCACCCUGGGGGAGGAAAGAGAAGCGUUUAGCAGACUCAUUUGACUUCUGGUGUUUCACCAGUAUUAUUUCUGGACUGUGUUGAUGACCACGAAGAUGGAUCUAUAAUAUUUGCUGUGUCAUUUUGCUUCUAAGCUGGAAAACAAACCUAAAGAGCUUGGACUCAUUUUCUCACUUCAAAUGUAUUAAAUCCUGUCUGGAACCCUGGAUGUUCUGUGAUGCUCUGGAGCUCUGUGACCAUACCAGAGAGUCUCCAGCCUCCAGUCUGGUUUCUCCAGUCCAGCAGACAGCAGAUCUAGUCCUGGUCCUCUGAUGUGAUUGAAGCUCAGGUCCAGCUCUCUCAGGUGAGAUGGGUUAGAUCUUAGAGCUGAGGCCAGAGUAGCACAGCCUUUGUGUGAAAUCAUACACCCUGACAGACUGUAAAGAAGGAGAAACUGUUUGAUAAGAUCAUGAGAGCAGAAGCACCUGUGAGACCUGUGGACCAGAACUGAAGACAGGAGAUGAUGUGUCCUGACCUGAGAUGCUCCACAUGACAGUGUGGACUCUUCAGUCCCUCAGACAGCAGCUCCACUCCUGAAUCCCUCAGCUUGUUGUCACUCAAGUCCAGUUUCACAAGUCGAGAGGACGGAGAGCUGAGGACUGAGGCCAGAAGUGAACCACUUCUCCUGAGUAGCUCACAGUCUCUCAGCCUGUGAAAGAGAUGUGUCAUCAGCAAGUCAGACCUUUCACUUCCCUCGAACCAACGCCCCUCUAGCAGCUGAGAGGACCAAGAAAAUAUGCUCCAAAUCACCAGCAAAUAGUCUGACUCUGCUAUCAACAGACUGUAUGACUUGAUGUUGCUACCACCACAACAUUAGCACGAUGCUUUAUGUUUUACAAAAAAACUGGUGAAUUCACAUUAGCUUGAAAAUCGCUUCAGCUUGUCUAGACAGAUGACCCACCCUGACCUGAGAGCCUUGAGGCGACAGAGUGGAUUCUUCAGUCCCUCAGACAGCAGCUCCAGCCCUGAAUCCUGUAUCUUGUUGUGGCUCAGAUCCAGUUGUGUCAGGCGAGAGGACGGAGAGCUGAGGACUGAGGCCAGAAGUGAACCACUUCUCUCUGACAGCUGACAGUCUCUGAGUCUGAAUAGUGAGAUGGAAAUCCCAUGUUCACUUCAUGUCAUGAGAGACGUUGCAGUGUGUGAUCUACUUACAGAACUUCUUUUGAAGCUAGCACCACCGGCAGCAGCCUCUGAAGAACCUCCUCGGAAGCAGAGUAUUUCUGCAGGUCAAACACCUCCAGAUGUUCCUCUGAGGACAGUAAAAUGAAGGCCAGGGUGGACCAUUGUACUGGAGACAGUUGAUCUGUAGAGAGACGUCCUGAUCUCAGCAGCUGUUGGACCUCCACCAACAGAGGCGUGUCCUUCACUUCACUCAGACAGUGGAACAGGUUGAUGGUUCUCUCUGGAGACACAUUCUCAUUUAUGCUCUUCUUGAUGAGCUCCGCUGUGUCCUGAUGGGUCCAGGAGCUACUUCCUGUCUGUAUUAACAAUCCUUGUAGGAGACUCUGGUUGGUCUGCAGAGAAAGACCGAAGAGGAAGCACACGAAUGAAGACAAUCCAUUUGGGUUUCCUACCGCCUCAUCUAUUGCUCUCUGGUAGAGCUGUUUUGGGUCAGGGUUUCUAAAGAGCCAUGUCAGUUUAUAUGUUAGCGAUGAAUCGAUCAGGUUGAUUCCUAAGUUGAAGAAUGUUAGGUGAACAUGAAGAGCAAUUAGGAAUGACGAAAGAAUCGGGUGGAUGAAGAUGAAGACUUUGUCUUGGUACAGUCCUGUCUCUUCUCUGAUGAGCUGUGAGAUCACUCCUGAGUGAUCAGCAUCUGUGAUGUUGAUGCCACACUCUUGGAGGUCUGAUGCAGAGAUGGUUCCAUCUUUGUUCUGCAGCUGCUUACAGGCCACUUUUCCCAGAGACUCAAUCAUCUUCCUGCUCUCAGGAGUCCAAACUGGGUCUGCCUCUGCUCCUCCAUGGCACUUGAGCUUCUUGACUUGGAUCACCAGAACUGUGGCAGUGAUCCAGCUGUGGAUGGGGAUGCGACACAUGCGGUAGAGGCUGCGUGAGCUCCUGAUGUGAGAGGUGAUGGCGGUCUGCUCCUCAUCUCUGAACCUCAUCCUGAAAUACUCCUCCUUCUGCAGGUUCAGCUCUCUGAAGGUGAAAGGAAACACCAGCUGGAAGUUCUGGUGGGCUUUGUCUUCAGCCCAGUCCAGAGUCAGCUUCCGUGUCAGGAGGGUCUUCCCAGUGCCAGCCACGCCCUUCGUCAGCAGGCUCCUGAUUGGCCGCUUUCUCUCAGGUGAAGCAGUAAAGAGGCCUCCUUGACUGAGAGCAUGGUCAGAUCCCUCCUCAGUGAUGUAGAGCUCUGUGUAGACCUGAUUCAGAGGGACGGCGUUUCGUGCUGUAGAGAUCCCCUCCCACACACUGUGGAACUUCUCCUGCAGCCUCCUCUUCAGUCGUCCUUCACACUCAGCCACACAAGCUCCUGAAUGAAGGGAGAGGUCCGAUAACUCAGACAGUGAAGGAGGUAGCAGGAGUGUAAAAAACGUUAAAGAGCGGCAGACGCUGUAUUCCCUCCACAAGAGGGAAGUGUGAAGAGCAGCAGUUGUGUUCACGGUUCCACUGUAAACGACACUGCUGAGUCAUCAUCAUUGUUGCUUGAGAGAUGAGGAACAGAGUCUUUUGUCGAUCAAACAAACAUCUGUAAAAGCUCUGUUAUUCUCUAUAGCCACAGCCAGUGGGUGUCAUGAGGUGAGGGAAUUUACUUCAUCACAAACUUGGGAUCACCGUGAAGAUUGUUCUGUUUUACGGCCAUCAUAGAUGAAUAUUUAAUAAAAUAAAACUCCGGCACCUUCAGGGUUAACUCGACUGCUUUGUUCCCCACUUCCUCUGUGAAGAGUUCCGCUCUACAGCUGAGGUGGACUGAACCAUUUUACGUGGUGGCUGAGAAAUGUUUCCAAAACAAAUGAACUUAGUCUUACUAACACUUAACAAGAUAAUAAAGAUAAAAUACAUUUGUGAUUGCAAGUUUAUGACUGAAUCUAAUAUUAUUUUGUCAGUAUUACGACUGUAUGAGGAGCCUCUUUGGGCCCCUGUCAACCAUAGGCCCCCAGGAUCUGUCUCCUUAUUCCUUCUCAGCGACCUGGUCAUGAACCCCUUCACCAGAGCGUAGGUGGCUCACCAGGAAGUGUCAUUUGUCUCAUUUCAGUGUUAUUGCCGCUAAUCUGUGCUCACUACGACAGAGCCUAAAAUAUAGAUGACCAUUAAAGGAACUAAAUAUUAAUACUAAUAUGGUUUUUUUAUAAAGUGUGCAGCAGUCUAAACCUGCUGAUGUUGAUCCAAAAUUCACCCGUUCACUUCAUAACCACGCUCCUGAUUUGUCCGUUCACACUGACCUCCGAGCAGCUCUCCUCCACUCUGAAGACUUGUGUCCAUGUUAUGAAGCCUCCAGCUGAGCUCAGCUCCUUCUGAUCAAACUCAACACUGACAGAUAGAGCGCGUCCCGUGGGUUAGAGAAAGGGGAGUGUCCUCUCUCUUCCUGUGAAGCCCCGUCAUGACAGCAAUAGUGACAUGUUGUCAAGUCACAAACAAGUCAACAAACAGUUCUUGUGUUGAUAAACGAAGAGUGUUUUCAUGCGUUGUUAUUGUGAUGGACACCAGCUUCUCCUGUGCUGCUGACAGAUCCUGGCAGGAACUUUGUGUCACUCAGAUCCCUGGUCCUCACUCUGCCCUCCUCCCACACUCUGGAGGAGUCUGUCCGCCCUCCAGUGGUCAACGGCACUGAGGAACCGUUGCAAGAUAAUGACUUCACAAUGGUCCCUGACCCUGACAUUGACUACGCUCUAUGUUCAAUACAGGACUUGAACUGUAACUCUACACAGAUGUACUGAGCUCUGUUGACUUUGGUCUUCAUCUCAUUGCCGUAAUACUUCGAUCAGCGGAUUGAAAAACUGCUCAUGUGAUAGUCAAAAUGAGUCGAAGCAUGGAUUCAUUCCUUUAAAUCCUAAAAGUGGAGCUGCAGUCCACCCGAGAAAAUUGGGGCUGGGAGUGGGGAACAACCUGGAAAAGUUGCUGUCCAUCACAAAGCUCAUGCAAACUCACACUGCUGGACAAUUUCGUCCCUAUGACAUGUAUGUUUUUAGUUAACUCGUGGCACACGAUUCGCUGGCUUUUCACAUGUUUAACAGUGGAGGGGAGUGAGAAAUACAAAAAUAUCAGUGCUGUACUCAAGUCUAGUUUUCGAGUGAAAUGCACCAGAGUAAGUUACUUUGUGGGUACUUGGAACUUACUCUACUAUUUAUGGAGGCAAUUAUUGUAUUUAUAUUCCGCUGCAUUUCUCCACUGUGUUACUUAAAAGAAUGAAUCUUUGAGGUGGAACAACAUGUUCCGGAUGUGGAUUUCAUCUGCCGGCUGAGAAUUUGUGUUAAACAGACUGAAUGAUGUAAUUCAGUGUUUGAGUGGUGAAUUGGAAAGAAAGGAAUCUGAUCGCUGUUUGUCAUAUUUCAGUAUUUAUUAUUUGAUCUCCAUGUGAAGAGAUGAACAACAAAAUAUAAUUCCAACAUUCUUUUUAAAUCAUUCACCAAAGUUUUAGCUCUAGUUCAACAGGUCUGUUGUUGCCUCAGAACUGAAAAUCAGAUUCUCAAUCUGGGCAUGAGAAAGAGUGUGUUUACAAAAGAAUGUGAUUGUCUGAUCUGAUCUAACUUCUCUGUGCUCCAGCAGCCAAUCAUGGUCAACUUCAAUUCAUCUUCAGAGCACAGACGCUCCAAGUUACGACUACAUAUGAAAGUUUCCCUGACAGUUGCUUAGGCUGUUGCUUACUUAAAGCGGACCCUGUCAGAGAAGUUUUACCUUCACCAACAGGCACUCUGAUGGGACAGUCAUCACACCAGGAAUAUGGUCUUUACUCGCGAAGAGUGCUGUGUGGCUGCUUCUCACACAACCAAAGCAAGGCCAUUGGCGCACUGAAUAGCUCACCACAGUACCUCUCUUUUUAUUACAAAAGGGUUCUAUAACAGGUCACAUGAUCAAUUACACAGCAGUGAGAGUUAUUAAGAUAAGGCAGGUGAAUAACCGAGGCACCUGCAUGACAGUUUUUAAUUGCAUACUUCUGUUCUUUUGCUGUCGUCUGAGUGAGUCUGGCGUGACCCACUCCUCUUGUCUGUGAGAGUUGAUAACUCCAGAGUUGAUAACUCCAGGUGGUCACAGCACAAGCCGCUUCCUCAAAGUUGACCGGAAUUCAGGCAUCUGCUUCCGAGCUCCAACUGUUCGGUAUCCUUCUUUCUUGCUCACCUCGUUGUUGACUCGUGUGAGGAUGGAGAGAAAAUCUUCCUCCCUGAAACACAGCACAGGGAACAGUUAUACUAGGAGAACAGACUGUUGACUGAUGUGAGAUCCUGGACCCACAGAAUCGACUUUUAUGUGACUGAGGUUGCAGUACAACAGUGACAACACCUUCAGCUAAGAUCAACCAGUGAGCGAGAGCAGCAUAAUUUGUUGGUGAAGGUUGUUGAACCAGUAGCUCCAACUCCACUGCAGGGGAACUGAACUCACCUCUGGCUGCCGAACCUCAACUCCUCACACAAGGUUUGAAUAAACCAGGUGCCUUUCACUGGAUGUCUCAGUGAGACAUAAUCUUCAACUGUUGCCAUGGCGACCAGGACGUCUGCUUCUUCAGGGAUGGAUGCUUGAUGGCCAUCUUCUUCCAGAUCAGCUUCCAUCUCUGGCACCAACACUCCCUGCUGCUCCUGACCACCUUGGCAGGCCUGGAUUAGGAAUACUUUAGGUCUGCCGGUGAGCUGGUGUGUAGACAUGAAGGCUGCAGUGAUUUCUUUAACAGACAGAGCUUCGCGGUCCACACCCAGGACGACACCCUUCAGUCCGUGACUCAGAAUACAGCAGAAGAAAGCGUCUCCAUGCUGAGGGGCCUCCUGAAGCUCAGUGAACCGUCCUCUACUGAACUCCUUCAAGCCCUGCACCUGUGUGUGGUCACUCAGGGAGCUGAAGCUCCUCAGACCUCGACGCAUCUGCUCCAUGGUUUGAUCCUCAAACAUCAGGACACGGAAGCCAAGCAUGCUGAACACUUCUCCCAAGCUCUCUGCAAGAUGAAGAACCUGCAUCUAUUAACUGCCCAGAGAAGAAGAGAGAAUUCCAGCUGUUCAACACACGAGCGUCUCUGUCAGUGCCACGUCUGGUGGAGCCGUCCUGGAAGUUCUUGUUGUUGAUGAUCAAGCAGAGACCAACUGGGUUGCUGUUCAGUGGGUACAGCUCAUCCUGAAAUGGAAGUAAAUAUCAAUUUUGAAAAUGUCAGCAUGGUGAAUGAAACUGAAAAUCAGCGACAUUCAUUUAGGGUCUGAUUGAAUGAUGAUGAAUGAAGAUAUAGUUGUAGACCACCUUUUGUUGCUUGCUCUGCAGCUGGUCUGUAACCAGAAAGAGAAAUACUUCAUUAAGUUGAGGCGACGUAGCUCAGAUGGUAGAGUUGCUGGCAGUGACUGAGAGGUUGCCAGUUCAAUCCUCCUGAUGUUUGUGUCGGCGUGUGGCUGGCGGUUCAGAUGGUGCAAUGCCUAGCAGCCUACUGCCGCUUCGCCAAGUUCAUAUCAGGCAGCGGAUUCACACCGAAAGAUGUUCGAGACUUUUGAGGAGCUCUAUAUUCUUCUCCACCUCGCUAUCAUCCACGUUGUCAAAUCAAUCAAAUUACUUACGCCUCUCUGGUCCUGAUGCUAACCUCUGUGGUCCACUGUGAUCCACCCUGGGGGAGGAAAGAGAUGAGCAGAUUCAUUUGAGUUCUGGUGUUUCAUCAGCAUUCUUUCAAGACUGCCUUGAUGACAGCAAAGAUGUCUUGUGGGUCACAAGCUCUUUGGAGCUCAGUCGUGUCCUCUGUCCAUACCAGAGAGUCUCCAGCCUCCAGUCUGGUUUCUCCAGUCCAGCAGACAGCAGAUCUAGUCCUGGUCCUCUGAUGUGAUUGAAGCUCAGGUCCAGCUCUCUCAGGUGAGAUGGGUUAGAUCUUAGAGCUGAGGCCAAAGUAGCACAGCCUCUGUGUGAAAUCGUACACCCUGACAGACUGUAAAGAAGGAGAAACUGUUGGAGAACUGAAGACAGGAGAUGAUGUGUCCUGACCUGAGAGUCUCCACAUGGCAGUGUGGACUCUUCAGUCCCUCAGACAGCAGCUCCACUCCUGAAUCCUUCAGCUUGUUGUCACUCAGGUCCAGUUUCACAAGUCGAGAGGACGGAGAGCUGAGGACUGAGGCCAGAAGUGAACCACUUCUCUUGGACAGCUCACAGUCUGUCAGCCUGUGAAAGACACAAAUGUCAUCAUGUCACUAUUUUGACAAGACCUCAAGCACUUCAUUUCAACUCUGUACAGUACAACUAUCUAACAAAGUAUAAAGUGCGCCUCUCUUGUCAAACAUACUCUAACAAUGUUGGACAUACCUGUGCAAAAAAACAAAACAAAACAAAACAAAAAACUACACAUAGUAUGGUCAAAUUUCACCAGGGAGGAAAUAAUAAAGGGCUAUUGUCUUACCAUGUUACAGCAACAAGUCAACAUUUCUGUCAAUUACCUCUGCAUGCAUAUGGGUGGACCAUGAUGGUAGUGCAAAUUAGAUGUUCAUUGAAGGGACAAGAAUGGCCGACCUUCAUCUCUCUUCAAGUGUUAGGCUGACAUCUGGUGAACAAUGCCUUUUUUUUAAGUUGGAAUUCAUGCCUCGGGUUAGAGUCUCGCUGUGUGCCAUUGUUUGAGCCAACAUAUCCGGGGCAUUAUUGUCUUGCACAAAGAUUGUUGUGGACCAUUGGCAUGUCUCUACAGUCUUCCAUAUACAGUAUAUAUAGAUUAUAUUCACUGUAUAUGGCAGAUAGUAUUUGGUAAUGCCCUCUUUUUUUUUUACAAACUCUUGUCGCCCAAGCCUGGUGAAAUGGCUACACAGCAGCCACCAUUGUGUCUUCAAAGAAGAACUUUUCUUGGUUCUGCUUCAGAACCUCAUGACCACAGUUGGAACCUGCAGAGGACUGAUGCCACAAAGAAUCAGCUGCUUCUUUGAAGAGCUAAAGGACUCUCUGAAGCUAGAGAGAUGAUGUGUCCUGACCUGAGGGUCUCCAGGCGACAGAGUGGAUUCUUCAGUCCCUCAGACAGCAGCUCCAGCCCUGAAUCCUGUAUCUUGUUGUGGCUCAGAUCCAGUUGUGUCAGGCGAGAGGACGGAGAGCUGAGGACUGAGGCCAGAAGUGAACCACUUCUCUCUGACAGCUGACAGUCUCUGAGUCUGAAUAGUAAGAUGGAAAUCAAACACCCAUUCCACUUCAUGUCAUGAGAGAAGUUGCAGUGUGUGAUCUACUUACAGAACUUCUUUUGAAGCUAGCACCGCCGGCAGCAGCCUCUCAAGAACCUCCUCGGAAGCAGAGUAUUUCUGCAGGUCAAACACCUCCAGAUGUUCCUCUGAGGACAGUAAAAUGAAGGCCAGGGUGGACCAUUGUACUGGAGACAGUUGAUCUGUGGAGAGACGUCCUGAUCUCAGCAGCUGUUGGACCUCCUCCACUAGAGAAGUUUCCUUCACUUCACUCAGACAGUGGAACAGAUUGAUGGUUCUCUCUGGAGACACAUUCUCAUUUAUGCUAUUCUUGAUGAGCUCUGCUGUGUCCUGAUGGGUCCAGGAGCUACUUCCUGUCUGUAUUAUCAAUCCUUGUAGGAGACUCUGGUUGGUCUGCAGAGAAAGACCCAGAAGGAAGCGCAGGAACAAGUCCAGAUGUCCACAUGGACUUUUUACUGCUUCAUUUAUUGCUCUCUGGUAGAACGGUUUUUGGUAACGUGGGUAUCUAAAGAUCAUUGGCAGACCAAUUGUUUGUCGUGAAUCCAGCAGAUUGAGUCCAGAGUUGACAAAUGUCAGGUGGACAUGAAGAGCAGCCAGAAACUCCUGGAGACUGAGGUGGAUGAAGCAGAAGACCUUGUCCUGGUAGAGUCCUCUCUCCUCUCUGAAGAUCUCUGUGAAGACUCCUGAGUAAAGUGCAGCAGCUGUGAUGUCGAUGCCACACUCUGUGAGGUCUGAUUCAAAGAAGACGUUAUAGAACGAGUUUUCUCUCUGCAGGUGCUGAAAAGCCAGUUUUCCCAGAGACUCCAUCAUCCUCCUGCUCUCAGGAUCCCAAACUGGGUCGGUCCCAGAUCCUCCAUGGUACUUGAGCUUCUUGACUUUGGCCUGAACCACCAGGAAGUGGAUGUACAUCUCAGUCAGGGUGUUGGGCAGCUCUCCGGUCUCUCUGCUCUUCAACCUGUCCUGCAGAACUGUGGCAGUGAUCCAGCAGAAGAUGGGGAUGUGACACAUGAUGUAGAGGCUGCGUGAGCUCCUGAUGUCAGUGAACCCUCUGACCUCUGUCACCAUGUCCACACACUCAGGGGGGAUCAGACUGGCUGAGACAGGUCUUGCGGUGAUCCAGACGUGAGCUGAGGGAAGCAGCUUCCCCCUGAUGAGGUUGGUCAGCAGCACGUCUAAUGAGGUGGACUCUGUAGCUGCUGUCAGUAUCCGGCUGUUGAAGUCCAGAGGGAGUCGACACUCGUCCAGACCGUCCAAGAUGAACAGAACCUGGACUCCUUCAAAGCCACUGAGUCCAGAUUCUUUGGUUUCAGGAAAGAAGAGAUGAAGUAGUUCCACCAAACUCAACUUCUUCUCUUUCAGCAGGUUCAGCUCUCUGAAGGUGAAAGGAAACACCAGCUGGAAGUUCUGGUGGGCUUUGUCUUCAGCCCAGUCCAGAGUCAGCUUCUGUGUCAGGAGGGUCUUCCCAAUGCCAGCCACGCCCAUCGUCAGCAGGCUCCUGAUUGGUGGGUCUAUGUCAGCCGGAGACCUGCAUGUGUUGAUGUGAACCAAGGCAGACGAGCGCGUCAGAGAACCUAUGAGGACCACUCCCUCUCAUCAAAGAAACAGGGAUCCAGAGACUCACAGUCGACCAGUGUCAUGAUCAAAGGUUCCCUGGAUUAAAAAUAAGUUUAAAACUACGAUGGUGAACCAAAGUCCACCACACUCUCCACAACUGGCGCACGGCGAUAUUAGCUGUCAAACGCCGCAUAGCUGGAGAGCGUGGCGCCGUCACGGUCUCGUCAUGUUCACGUGUGCAUGUCGUGUGUUUAUUGAAUGUGAGAUGAAAUCUCAAUUUUUGCAGUAGCUUGUGUACGAUAAGGUGCAGUUAAUAUUCUGUUUUGACCUACUACUAACACCAUGUAUCACUUUCAGAAACAUGCACAAAUUUACAAACCAAAGUGCUAUAUAUUUGUACAAACCUGCAGCAAAUGCCUUAGGUGUUUUUGAAGAAGUCCCUGUACACUAUCGGACACAGGUGUACAAAGUCUCUGUGUGUCACGUCUCUUUUUGUCCACCUGGUGGCAGUAAUAGCACACUCUGUGUUCCAGUAGUGCUGACUGAGGAAUUCAACUUUCCGCUUUUGAGAGAAGGCAGAACAGCACAUCAGUACUGUUUCUUCCUACACCAACGUUACAGAAAUCACCCCUAAACGUGUGGAUGACUUAUCAGUCAGUCAAGUCAGUCAUUGUCAUUUUACUCGACCCGUUUACCACCACGUAUGUAGUUUUGAGUCUUAACUUCGAAGAUAUAUUUUUCACUUUCUUUAAUCAGUUAUUUCUGUGGACCCUGUAUUAAUACUGUCAUCUGUUGCAGACUGAAAUUGAAAGUAUUGCAAGUGUAUUUUCAGCUAGAAAUGUGCAAAUUCCUCUGUUUUCUGCCUGUGUUGCUGGCAGCUUGACACUUCAACUCACAUGCUGAAAACAUGACGGAUGUGUGCCGCACAUGAUGUCAUGCCCCAAGACGCAGCAGAAGAAAGCAAACAUUCAUAUUUGGCUUUUAGAAAAUAAUACAAAAUAUUAUGGCACAGUGACUUGGGUAGGUAACUUUAAAACUGAAUCUUGUUUUAGAUUAGAUUAAAUGGCCUUUAUCAGUUACGACUUAUUAUACGAUAAUAAGAGUAACGCAGAGCGGACUUGGAGCGUACCUGGAAUGUGGAGUCCACAUGGGACUGAUGCUGCAGGAGAGCAUCUGAGAGCAGCCGAUCCCCUCUGUGAAGAACAUAAGGCAGACGAUAUUGGUGAUGGGAGCUGUGUGGUGUCAGUCGAGCACCCCACCACUCCAACUGUCAUGACUGAGACCAGAACCUUAUUUUCUGUUGCAUUGUUGUGAGAGAAAAAAGUGGCCGAAAAUGUCCCCAAAGUGCGACUUCUCUCUGACUUAUAUUUCACCUGUUGAAAUGUCAGUGACGUGUAGAUGUUUUCAUCUACUGGUAUUGAUGAGAGCAUUUUGUGAGCGAAGCACUCAGUCACACAGGUCAGGGUCAUGAGUGCAGCGGGACUAGUAUUGGAUCUGUCAGACUCUGGCCCUCCUCUUCUUUCUGCCCGUCUUUGCAGGUGUCUUUGCCGUGUUACUGAAUAAACUGGCAACCUCGCUGUUUGGCGUCACGUGGGUGCCGUUUUUGUUAUAUAUUAUACAGUAUCUGCGCAAUGCUGAGCCAAACUGAAACCGAAACUGAAAAGUAACUUUUGUAUGGUUUGAAACGGACAAGAAAUGUGGCUAUAUUAUCGCCGUUCAUCUCAGUUAUAUCAUCCUUGUCUUGAUCCAUCAGCUGAGUCCGUGAUUUUAAACAUCAAAAGAGAAAUGUUUCCGGAUUCAUCCGUUCACCUGGCGACCCACUCUUGACUCUCUUGUUCAGUGGGCAGUUGUGAAGUGACUGACCUGUGAGAAGCUCCACUUGUGUCCAUGUUUGAAGGUGAAGUUCACACUGGAGUCAAGCGACACGACUCGGCCGCGAUCACCGUCAAGCCUCCAAAAAAACAAAAAACCUGCGCGUUUAGGCGGAGCAUUACGGUAGCAGUGACGCAGCGUGGAAGCAAAGUCCAGAAGAGCGUAACUCGAGAUAAAUGAUUCAAAUAAAACAUUGUGAUGUUCUUUUUGCGAAUUAAAACUUAAUCCUAGCGUUUAUUUAAUUAUUUUUAUUAUUAUUGUGUAAUGCAUGUAAAUACGGAUUUGAGUCGUAGUCGAGUAUAUUGAACUUAGACCUCCAAUGUUCUGCAAUAUUUGUGAACCUCUGUCAAAAGCAACGUCACAUCCUGACUGAUGAAGGUAGUGUCUGGCACACGACUGAGUGUGGAGACAUUCUGCCGUAUGUCUGUGGAGAAAACCUCUGUUCAUCUGAGUGCAGGUUUCAGGACAGUGAGUUGGUUUUGACUGUCAGAGUGACUCACUGCUGCCCCCUUCUGGACGAAGAGCAAUCCCGCACACUAGUGCCACCUCACACCACUAGAGAGCAGUGUCUUCCUUUGUAACGUCUGCACCGGCCCAUGUGAGGACAUGUGGCGGCCCGCUGGGUCCUCACAUGGUGACUCAGGGUUUAUGUUUAUGUUACAAUGGUGUUUCAGCCAACUUUUUCCCAACUUGUUUCAGUUAUUAGCAGAUGCCAUAUUUUAUUUUGUCUGCUAUGACAAUGAGUUCUGUUUUCCAAACGUGUUUGUGUUGUGCUGUUUAAACCUCUUGGCAUUCAUCUUUGUUCUCAGCCGUGUUUUCCUUGGUGUUCAGUGGAGUAAAAUACAGUGGUGCCUCGGUUUUCGCACGUCUCGGAAUUCCAACAAAAAUUUCUAGAUUUUUUUUGCUUCCGAUUUCGAACGAAAAUCU